rnacentral:rRNA from 1 species
UACGUAGGGCGCAAGCGUUGUCCGGAAUUAUUGGGCGUAAAGAGCUCGUAGGCGGCUUGUCACGUCGGGUGUGAAAGCCCGGGGCUUAACCCCGGGUCUGCAUUCGAUACGGGCUAGCUAGAGUGUGGUAGGGGAGAUCGGAAUUCCUGGUGUAGCGGCGAAAUGCGCAGAUAUCAGGAGGAACACCGGUGGCGAAGGCGGCCUGCUGGGACAUGGCUGACGCUGAGGCGCGACAGCGUGGGGAGCAAACAGG